CCUAUAUAACCCGCAGCGAAACCAGCGCAAAAGGGAGAGCCAUCCUGACGACUGCUAUGAGCCUCAUCUACGCAGCCGGCGGGUGCCUUUGGCAGGCGAGAGGUUACACCUGUGGUCUAAUGCAGGGAAUUGCGAUAGGAAUUCCAGCUCCUUCCACAGUGCCGUGGACGUACCUGCGACCCAGGACCUGCUACAGCAGAUAAGCUACUGUCCUAACAGCCUCGGAAACCCCGCCACGCCUAUACUUGACGGUACCCAUGCUUUCCAGCCACACCGACCCUUCCUCGGAGCACUUCAUCAACGACAUGAACGCUUGCCAAGCCGCUGUCAGAGCCAAAGAGGAGGUCGUCCUACGUACUGCCCCUGGAUGACUCUUUCCGCUGACAUCUUGCACUUGCCAGACAUUACAAUAGGUGGAAGGGUGUGCUGUAAUGGCAAGGUACCAAUGCUAAUAGCCCUCUCCCCCCCUCAAGACACAUAAUCCCUCUUUUGUACUUGCUUGUUCAGCCUUAACGCUACACGGGUGAGAAAAAGUGCAUCUUAAGAACUGUUCUUGGCUCCUGACUGAUUAUGAUGCAGUGGUCUUUUGUAGGGUACGGCAGUGUAUGAAAUAAACUGGUUCUGAGA